AUACGGAGGAUCCGAGCGUUAUCCGGAUUUAUUGGGUUUAAAGGGUGCGCAGGCGGCCAUUUAAGUCAGCGGUUAAAUCGUGGGGCUCAACCCCAUUCUGCCGUUGAUACUGGGUGGCUUGAUUGCGGUCGAGGUUUGCGGAAUUCGUUGUGUAGCGGUGAAAUGCAUAGAUAUGACGAAGAACACCGAUUGCGUAGGCAGCUGGCCAGACCUAAAAAGACGCUCAUGCACGAAAGUGCUGGGAUCGAACAGGAUUAGAUACCCUGGUAGUCCUCACAGUAAACGAUGAAUGCUUGUUUUCGGCGAUAUAAUGUCGGAGGCAAAGCGAAAGCGAUAAGUAUUCCACCUGGGGAGUACGCCGGCAACGGUGAAACUCAAAUGAAUUGACGGGG
rnacentral:rRNA from 1 species